rnacentral:rRNA from 1 species
AACGAACGCCGGCGGCAUGCCUAACACAUGCAAGUCGAACGCGUGGAGCGAUCCACGAGUGGCGCACGGGUGAGUAACGCGUGGGAACCUGCCCUGGAGUGUGGGAUAACCCGGCGAAAGCCGGGCUAAUACCGCAUACGACCUGAGGGUGAAAGAUUUAUCGCUCUAGGAGGGGCCCGCGUCGGAUUAGCUAGUUGGUGAGGUAAUGGCUCACCAAGGCGAUGAUCCGUAGCUGGUCUGAGAGGAUGAUCAGCCACACCGGGACUGAGACACGGCCCAGACUCCUACGGGAGGCAGCAGUGGGGAAUAUUGGACAAUGGGGGCAACCCUGAUCCAGCAAUGCCGCGUGGGCGAUGAAGGCCUUCGGGUUGUAAAGCCCUUUUGCACGCGACGAUGAUGACGGUAGCGUGAGAAGAAGCCCCGGCUAACUCCGUGCCAGCCGCCGCGGUAA